AUUGAGAUAGCACCCUUUGUUUAUGAGUACCCUUGUUUCCUCGGCGGGCUUGCCCGCCAUGAGGACAUUAAAAACCCUUUGUAGUAGUAGUAACUUCAGUUAAUAAUAAAUAUUAAAACUUUCAACAACGGAUCUCUUGGUUCUGGCAUCGAUGAAGAACGCAGCGAAAUGCGAUAAGUAGUGUGAAUUGCAGAAUUCAGUGAAUCAUCGAAUCUUUGAACGCACAUUGCGCCCUUCGGUAUUCCGUUGGGCAUGCCUGUUCGAGCGUCAUUUAAACCUUCAAGCUAUGCUUGGUGUUGGGUGUUUGUUCCGCCUCAGCGUGUGACUCGCCUUAAAUUCAUUGGCAGCCGGUAUGUUGGUUUCGUGCGCAGCACAUUGCAAGCGAUUUCAACAGACCCCCUUCCACAAGCCUUUUUUUACUUUGACCUCGGAUCAGGUAGGGAUACCCGCUGAACUUAAGCAUAUCAAUAAGCGGAGGAAGAGAAACCAACAGGGAUUGCCCCAGUAACGGCGAGUGAAGCGGCAAUAGCUCAAAUUUGAAAUCUGGCCCUUUCAGGGUCCGAGUUGUAAUUUGCAGAGGGCGCUUUGGUGUCGGCAGCAGCCUAAGUUCCUUGGAACAGGUCAUCAUAGAGGGUGAGAAUCCCGUAUGUGGCUGCUUGUCUUCACCGUGUAAAGCCCCUUCGAUGAGUCGAAUUGUUUGGGAAUGCAGCUCUAAAUGGGAGGUAAAUUUCUUCUAAAGCUAAAUAUUGGCCAGAGACCGAUAGCGCACAAGUAGAGUGAUCGAAAGAUGAAAAGCACUUUGGAAAGAGAGUCAAAAAGCACGUGAAAUUGUUGAAAGGGAAGCGCUUGCAGCCAGACGUGCCCGUAG
rnacentral:rRNA from 1 species